CUGGAGGUUUGUGGGAAUAUUUCAGGAAGAGAGGAAACCAGCAUGGAAGAAAAGACUGGGUGGACACUAUGUGGAAGCCUGGGACAAUACACCAUUCGUUCCAGGAGGAUGCUUUCAGCUGUGGUGUCUUUGUGAUGCAGAUGGCCAAGCAGGUGGUGGAACACUUUCCAAAAAUUCCUGAGAGCAUCAACAUAAUACCCAGCAAAGAGGAG